AUUUAGUAAUUCCCUCCUCUUUAAACCUAAUAUCUAUUAUCUUCAAUGUUCGCGUUCUCCAUUGCACCAUCGAUCUAAACGUCUGCUAUCGACAAUCGAAGAUGUCAAUCCUGAAUAUUGAAAAUCAACUCACAUCCCGCUCAGGUUUCCAAAUUCCCAUUACCCCCAACAUAAUCUAAACCACUAGGGUUCGUUAUUUCGUUUUUCUCUCAUGGGGUCAUCGUUACCUAUCCGUCCCUCCACCCUGGCUCCUCCACAUCGCGCCUUAGCCCAUAUCGUCGAUCGUGUUUCCCCUAACCCUUGUUCAUCCUCUAUUGGCUGGUUGAAAAUAGUAUGAACAACUUCUCUUCAUAAUCAAGGUACUGACGAUUUUGUGGAGAAAACAAUAUAAAACCGUCGAUCUGGAUAAUGUGCCAAGUCAGAUCACGAAUCGAGUUGAGAUGGAAUUAAGAAUUCUAGGAUCGAUGCCAUUAGGCUCCUUCCUUCUCCUAUCAGAACAUUUUUCAAUGAGUUUCUCACGAAAUAGCCCCAUAUCCCCAUUGGUGUUUUCUCGGUUUUUUUUGGGUCUUCAUCUCAACAGUACAAGAGCUUAGAAGCCUAUAAUCGAGUGUAAAGGUUUGAUUACAUGCAAUCACUACAUUCGAUUGGUAUUGAUUACAUAUGAGCUUGCUAAAGAUCUAAAUCAUGCAUAAGGGAAGUGUCAAUACUGUAGAUGCAGAGAUAUAUCUCUUCUAAUUAUGAUUUAUAUCUUCCUAUUAUGUUUUAAAUCCCUAAAUCUCUUCUUAUAACGCUUUAAUUUGGUCUGAUUAUCAAGAAGUGGAAUGUUGAAUGCUGUUUCUUUCAUUAAGCAAGUCAAGGUCAGUACUCAUUACUUUAUAUUACUUCAUUACUAUGCAAAAAGACGUAAAUGCCCUUUUGGUAAUAGAUCAGAAUAUGAGUUGCAGUUGUCAUCUACUUGUCAUCUACUGGUGGAAGGCUUAUCAUUGCAAGUACCUUAUAUUUUCUAUCCUUCAAACUCUUGAUUUCUGUCCUAUAUCAUUAAUUUUGAUGAUUUUUUUUUUUGCAGUUUCUACAUUUGGAAUUAGAUGCGUUUCUUUGAGACCACCACUCCUCAUCGGCCUCUUUGCUUGUAUGAUCACCAAGAACACGUGUUUCGUCUGUUGUAAGUGCAAGUGCAGGAAUGACUAUGACAAGAAGAUUGAUUAGAAACUGGAACGAUUAUGAUGCAUCUAGCAAUAAGAAGAUUAAAUCUGAUGAUGUAGUUUGUUGAUUAUUUAUGAGCAAAAUAAUUUUGGUUGGAGGUGCAAGUAAGAAUUUGAAUCCAUCGUUAAGAAACAUCUUUAUUUUCACUGAGCAAAUUAAAUCUGAGAUUAUGUUUAUCAUUGCCA